rnacentral:lncRNA from 1 species
GGGGGAGGGGACAGGUGUUGGGCGCUGGGGAUUGGAAUAGGGGAGUCGGACAGAGAAAUUGGUCCAGGGGAUUCUCUCCCCACUUAUUGGGGAAGGCGUUUUAUUUGAAUCCGGAUCCCCUGUCCCAUUUUCUCUAUCCCAGCCCCCUGUUCAGCCCCCAAUGAACGAUACAUGUCCAAAUGUAAUUUACCUAAUUACAAAAUCUCCCCUGAUAAAUAACAUUUGGACAGGUGUCAUCUAUUGAGAGAUGGAACAGAGGGCUGGGACAGAGAAAAUGGGACGGGUUUCCCCAGCCGUUUUAUUUAUGUCAAGUUAAAACUUAAAAGAACUAGACUGUAACCAUUGGGCUCCCCUUCCGGAUGGAAUUGCUUGCAACAAGUGGCAGAUCCGCCUUCCCACACAUAUAGGACAAAUCGGUAAAUUAACAAGAAAAUGGACUCUAAUGGCAUUAAAUUUUGCGUGUGAUAUUCAGAUGGUAUUAAAUAUCAAAAUACAUAAUGGAUCAAAAUCGGUAAAAAAAAAAUUUUUAAAAUGAUCUAAAUAUUUUAUUUUUUAAGUGCUCAUAUACUUAAAAAAAUAAACUAUUUAUUAAUUAUUUUAAAAAAUAUUUAUUUAUCUUAAUAGUUGUAUUGAGAAAAAAGAUUAAAAGUCAUAAAUCAAAGGACAAGUUUAUCAUUUUUGUGCAUAAAUAAGAUAUAAGGGAGAAUCAUGACAUUGGUUUCAAAGUAAGAGAGAUCAGUAUUAUUUAUGAAACUAUAUUGGCGAUAACAAUAUUUCUUUUGUCACCUAAAAAAAAUAUUUUUUCCCCCUCACCUGUCAUUCUAAACGAACCCUUAUACUGUGUUUAGAUCCAGAAUUUAUUGAGAAAAAUAAAAUAAAGAAAGAUUAAAGGAUCCAACGAUCCUAAAUGAUUGAAUCUUUUAACUUUUUUUUAUUUUCUUUUAUAAUUUUUUUAUCCAAAUACAACUUAGGAGUUUUAAGGGGAGGAUUUCCCGUUUAAGAGUCAACGAAGGAGAUGGGUGAAGGUUUUUAUAGUUGCAACUAUUUGUUUUCUCUUAUUUGAGUUUGGUGUCAUUGUAUAGAUUUUAUGUUGUGUGCCUUCUUGUUAAAGUGAUGACGUGUGUCACGGGCUUAGAUCUUGAACCCUUCGAUCCGUGCGGCCUUAGACACCUUUCGCCUAUAAAAGAUACUAAGUAAGUCUAGAACCACCAAAAGAGAAGGCUAAGAGAGCAAAAAAGCAACAAGAGAAUUCUAGAGAGAGAGCGCUUGGAGAAUGCUUUGUGUUCUCAAAACUUAGAUUCCUUGAUUGCAUUCUCUAUGUGUUUACAAAUGAGAGCUUAGCCCUUAUUUAUACUCUCCUACAUUCUCUAGAAUGUUCUAUACUUUUCUAGGUUAUUUAUGUACAUAUCUUCUCAAUGGAAG